ACAUGAGCGUGGCGAAGAACUCGAUCGGAGGCUACUUGUUUAUCUCGAAAGCCAAGCACACAUGUGUUUAUGAAAUAAGUGUGAUUCGAAACUGGCAGGUGAACUAGCAAGAGGAGCCAACUGUGCAGGCAUUUUCCGGAGCGACAUGCACACCCCUGAGCAGCUCCGAUUCCCCCGCGCGCACAGCGGCCCCCGGGGCCUCGGCUGCGGGACCCGGAGCUCCCGCCACGCCCACCGGACGUCACCCGUUACACAACGCCCGCCGCCCCCCCGCCCCGCUUAUGCAAUUCCGCCCUCCCGCGGCUUCCGACUGCCCCACUGACUUUUGUGGGAGACGAAGGUGCCUGGCCAGCUGCACCAUGCCUGCCAGGGCCGCAGAGGAUCAUGGCUGCUGCGAGCCCAGAAAUUAGUCACCAUCGUGCAAAGGAGGGAGUCACGUCUCAGGACACAAACUAGACGGAUAUACGUCUCCUCCUCUCCAAGUCUCAAAACUUCUGGCAGAAUACUCUGAACAUUACGAACAACACCCACACAAGAUUUUGUCUGACAAUAAGAGUUUCAAGUCAAUUAACAAUCGUGGAGCUUUUGGAAGUAUCUCACAGGAAGCAAACCUAAAUGACUCCUCCCGGAUAGAAGUCAUCUCUUGGGCAGAUUCUUGUCUUAGAGUAAAAUGCUUCCAAUUACUUGUUUAUAUAAUCAAAUGGCCAUGUGCCCCUCUGAGAGCCCACGUUAGGAGGAAAUUCAACAUCUCAAUAAGCGUUCACUUGUAAAAGAGUUCACUGUAUCCAGAAGCUGAAGAUCCUAUUUCUGGGUUAUUCACCUACUAAUUUCUCCACUUUCUUACUCAUUUUUUCUCAGCCUUUCUCUCAGAUCUGUCAGUAAUACUUUACUUUCCCAGCCCAUGUUUACAAGUACUUUUAGAGCUCUUCUGUGUCCGUCAGUUACCUUACAGGUGCUUCUUAUUUAAGAAAAUCAGGUAUAUUAAAGUCCGAACUGCUCUAAAAGUUAAAUUGGGAAGGAUGUUGUUCUCCAUUACAAAGCAUUCCUCACCUUACAAAAGGUGCCAAGGGCUUCUUACCUCCUUUCUGUAAAUACUAUUAAGCACAUUUGCAAGACGAUGAAUUCUGUCCAUGGGCACUGGUGAUGCUGAUACAUCAGUGUGAAAAUACUGAACUCUACACUUAAAAAUGGUUAAGAUGGUCAAUUUUGUAUUACGUAUAUUCUACCACAAUUAAAAAAUAUGUUAUUGGGCAUCUACCAUAGGCCUGCCCUAUUGCCAAUGCUGUAGUCACAGCACUGAGUGAAGAGAUUCCCCCCUCACGGCCCACAUGGCGUGUGACAGUCUAGUCUACUGACCAAGUGUGUGUCCACACGGUGUAUUUUGAUGACACUUUCCAAACAGCUUGCAACUUACAGUACAAAGUUACCGAAGCAGUAUUUCAUGUUGUAUAUAAAGCACAGUCCCAAACAUGCACGCCCUGAACAGCACAGAUCAGCAGCCACAGCAAAUGUGGCAAUGUGAUAAGAAGAAAACACGCGAGGGUAGAGAUCGGCAUGCUGUUUCACAAAAGGUGAUGAGGUGGAGAAGGUUCUCUUUGGUAAGGUGACAUCUUAGUAGAGCCCUGAAGGCUGUGAGGCAGAAACUUGUAGGGAUAACCAGCCGGGGACACUGUUCCAGGUAGAAAGAAGUCCAGAGUGGCUUUUGAGGCAGGAGUUGCUCUGCAUGUUGGAAGCAUAAUAGAGAAGCUGAAGGAGCAGGAACAGAGAGCAAAGGGAGGGUGGCAGAUGGGGUCAGAGAAGCAGGGAAGAGGGGGAGGUUGUGGGACGAAGCAAAAUUAUAUUACUGGGUAAGACAGAAGCCAUUGAAGGGUCUAACAGAAGGGUUCAUGAUGUGACUUCCCUCUUCAGAGGUUACGUUGGCUGCUUUGCAAGGAGCAGACCUCAGUUGAGAGAGCGUGGAAGAAUGGAGAGAGCAAAUGGAAGGCAACUGCAAUGGUCCAAGCAAGAAAUGGUGGGGAUGGGACUAGGAUAUUCAGAUCUGGGAUCUAAUUUACCAUAUGCUUUUUCAGGACAUCCCAAACAGCUCCAGGCUCCCAUAAUAAAAGAUUCCAAACUGGAAAAUACAGUAUUAUCCCCAAGUUCUAGGUCUUAUUUGGGGGGAAUCUGUUUCUUAGUGUACAUGCUCAAAAAAAAUUCUUCUUAGAACGAUAAUUCUUCAGGUUGUCAAAAACAAAUCAGCAAAAAAAAAAAAAAAGAAAUCAGCAAACCUCGCAUUUUAUUUCAUAGGAAAGUUUUGUUUGUAUCUGGACAGAAUUUCUAUUUGGGUGAGGAUGGGCUCUUAUUAAAAGACAAACUAUGUUCUUUGUUAUAUAGAUGCUCCUUAUUUUUGAAGCUGUCAACAUUCCAUAAUUAUAAGUAGUCAGGUUGAUAUAACUGGCUAUGUUAUAUAGCUUUUGAAGCACCUUGUGUCUCCAGAGCUCAGAAAGUACAUAAUGCUCAUUAAUGAAUCUUCCCAUGGAGUUUUUAGCUCACUCCUGGCUUUGAUUAACUGUUAUGCUUAGUGUGGUCAACUUUCUUCUGGAAAAAACCUGACUUUGGCCCUGAAGUCUCUUUUUCCAAUGGCUGUUAAUCAAUUCUGCAAGAUGCCUCAAGUUCUUUUUGGAGAUAGGCUGUCAUAAAUCAGUAAAAAUAGUCAUUGUUUAGCCCGAGAGUGGAGAAGUACAAGCUAUCAUAUGUGCAAGGUAGCAUGGUGUAGACAGACAUACACACAUGGGAAAGACUGAUUCUCUCUGGGGUUUACAUGGGUCCUACUGCUUAUAUAUCACUCUCUUCUCAGUCUAACAGAGGGUUGUAAAUCGCACGUAAUCCAAGAACCUACUAUCAAAACAAAUACAUUUUGUGAGAUGUGAACUGUCACUUCACUUUAGCAAUGACUUGAGAUCAUUGCUUAGGGUGUAUAUAGAAUGUUUUCAUACGAGCCUGUAUUUCCUGAAAAAGAUUGAAUUUACAGGAAAAAAAUUAACAGGGCUCUUUAAACAGAGUCUAAACUGGCUUCCUCAUUCUUAGCAUACAAAUAAAUUAUGUGGCUAAGUAAUAUGUAUGUAAACAUAUGCUGAGAAAAUAACUUGUGCUCUAUAUUAAAAGGUAUUAUUUGCUGUGUG